GCGCAGCAGGCGCGAAAACUCCGCAAUGCACGAAAGUGUGACGGGGUCAGCCCGAGUGCCAACCGAAAACGUUGGCUUUUCACCCGCCUAAAAAGCAGGUGGAAUAAGGGGAGGGCAAGGCUGGUGCCAGCCGCCGCGGUAAAACCAGCUCCUCGAGUAGUCAAGACGAUUAUUGGGCCUAAAGCGUCCGUAGCCAGCCUAGUAAGUCUCUGGUUAAAUCUAACGGCUCAACCGUUAGGCUGCUAGAGAUACUGCUAGACUCGGAGGCGGGAUAGGUCGAGGGUACUCUCAGGGUAGGGGUGAAAUCCUAUAAUCCUGAGGGGACCACCAGUGGCGAAGGCGCUCGACUGGAACGCGCUCGACGGUGAGGGACGAAAGCUAGGGGAGCGAACCGGAUUAGAUACCCGGGUAGUCC
rnacentral:rRNA from 1 species